ensembl:lncRNA
CACCUGGACCCAGGGCCCUCGGGAGGCAGCCAGACCUCCCCCGCAGCGAGACAGCGGAUUCUUUGCCACGAACGAGCACCACCUGGGAAGCCCAAUGGAGACAGAGUGAUGAACAAAAACGACACAUUCCUGAUGCUCGAGGGCAUCAACGAGGGUACCAAGAGAGGGCUUCGCGGAUGGAUACGGAUGGGUACUCCUGAGAAUACAGGUGAUGGAUCUGCAAGAGUGCUGCUGGUGAACGUUGAUAACGCCACCAAGUCAUCGCAGGUUAAAUGUGACGUUCCAAGCGAACUGAUCGGCAAGAAGGAAGAGGAAGAGAGAAGACCGUGCCCCAUCCUCACCCCGUCCCAGCUGGUGGUCAGGACCCCAAGGUCUUCUCCCUCAGACUGUACAAGCAUGCACCCAGGGCGGAGGCCCCGCACACCCCCAGUUAAAGAGCUCGGUGAGCCUGGUGUCUCUGGUGACAGCUGGUGCUGAGCCUGGCCUGGGGGAUGAAUCGUGUCUUCCUGGAAUCCACGUUUUGAGGUCCUAACCCGCAGAACUUCAGCACGUCACCUUAUUUGGAAAAAGAGUCAUUGCAGAUGUGAUUUGCUAAGAGGGGGUUAUCUUGGAGUCAGGUGGACCCCCUACUCCAGCAUGACUGGUGUCCUUAGAGAAAAGGAAGACUUUGGACAGGGACAGACAUACACUGCGGGGAGAAGACAUCUGUCUACGAGCCAAGGAGAGCGGCCUGGCUGUCACAGACCCUCCUCUCCCAGAGCCUCACAUAUAUAAGCCUUACCUAGGCCCACAUACCACACACUAGGAACCAACUCCAUGGACACCUGGAUGUUUGACAUCCGGCCUCUGGCACUGCGAGAUAAUAAAUUUCUGUUGCUUAAACUGCUCAGCUUCUAGCGCUUUGUUACGGCAGCCCUAGCAAACUGUUCUGGGGAUGUGAAGGCUUAAAAGUGCUUCUCCGAGCUCCUCUGCUUCCUGCAGACCCAUCUCGCAGCCUCCUGUGCUGUGAUCAGCAGGCUGCCCACAUCUUCGCCCUGCCCUAGGCUCCCCCAGCGCUAAGCACAGUGCCCUCA